GUUUCCGUAGGUGAACCUGCGGAAGGAUCAUUACCGAGUUGAUUCGAGCUCCGGCUCGACUCUCCCACCCUAUGUGUACCUACCUCUGUUGCUUUGGCGGGCCGCGGUCCUCCGCACCGGCCCCCCUUCGGGGGCUGGCCAGCGCCCGCCAGAGGACCACAAAACUCCAGUCAGUGAACGUCGCAGUCUGAAAAACAAGUUAAUAAACUAAAACUUUCAACAACGGAUCUCUUGGUUCUGGCAUCGAUGAAGAACGCAGCGAAAUGCGAUAAGUAAUGUGAAUUGCAGAAUUCAGUGAAUCAUCGAAUCUUUGAACGCACAUUGCGCCCCUUGGUAUUCCGAGGGGCAUGCCUGUUCGAGCGUCAUUUCAACCCUCAAGCUCUGCUUGGUAUUGGGCUCCGUCCUCCACGGACGCGCCUCAAAGACCUCGGCGGUGGCGUCUUGCCUCAAGCGUAGUAGAAAACACCUCGCUUUGGAGCGCACGGCGUCGCCCGCCGGACGAACCUUUGAAUUUUUCUCAAGGUGAACCUCGGAUCAGGUAGGGAUACCCGCUGAACUUAA
rnacentral:rRNA from 1 species